GGAACUUACUAGACCAGGUUGGUCUUGAACCCAUGGAGAUCUACCUACCUCUACCUCCUCAGUGCUGGGAUUGAAGGUGUGAGCUACCAUGCCUGGCUCAAUAAGACUCUUUAAAGAAAAGAGUGACUUGGUCUUAUUUUGUGGCCAUAGGAAAGCUUCCAACAGUAAUUCUCAUUUUCUUUUUAACACUGACUGCGGGGAUGUGCAGAAUGGCCUGUGGAUUUACCGUGUGCCAUUUAGAGGACUGGGUACACAGCAUUGGCUAAUGGAGCUCUUCCCUCCAAUCAACUAUAAUUUCUCUGUCUCUAAAUUAAAGAAAUAUUUCGACCAUAUUUUCACAGGUAUUUCUCCUGUGCACCACACUUAUGUCUGGGUCCUGAGAAGGGAAAAGAAGGUGUUUGCUUCCUUGGAGUUAGAAUUACAGUUUGUGUGCAGAGUGGAAGAAGAUCACAAGCGUACACCUGCUCCAGUGAGCUUGUGGAGGUCAGAGGACCUGGAAUUCAACUGAAGUUCUCAAGCUUGGCAGCAAGCACCCUCACUCACUGAGCCAUCUUGCUGCCCCCACCCCACUUUAAAGCUUGACUUUCGAUAGCAUCAAUGCCCUUUAGAAUUAGCAUGCAUUCCUAAUGGAUACAAAGUGUGAAGACACUAAGUGGAAGGAGGAGAGGAGAAACCAUUUCCAUCAUCCCAAACACUUAAACCUGGUUUAAAGGAGAUCAAUAACCAUGCCCAGGUUGUCCUGGAAAGAAUGGAGCAAUUAAAACCCACUUUAUACAUGAAGCUACAUCCUGAUUUUUUCCCCCUUAACACUGAAAGAGAAACAUAAUUGAAAAUGUAAUAUUUUAAUUUAUUGCAAAUAUUUCCUAAGUAAGAUUUCUGAUAACUUUGAACAGCAAUAAAGAAACCAGCAAGGUUGCUACUGAGUGCAAUAUUUCAGAGCCCAGGUCAGAAUAACAUUCUGAGAAUGAGCGGGCUGGAGUUGGUAACACCGAUUUGGCUGUAGUGAGUUGCAAGAUCACUGGGUCCUAGAACUUUUACUUAGUUUCGUAAACAUAUCUAUAUCUAUAUCUAUAUCUAUAUCUAUAUCUAUAUCU
rnacentral:lncRNA from 1 species